CUUUUCCACCCUUUCUUUUCGAUAAUCUACCGCCUUCCUUGUACAAUCAUCUGAUGAUGUAUCAUCUGACUGCUUUUCCACUUUCACCGUUUACAAAUAGUUUGCAAAUAAUCUCCAACAAAAAAGAGAAAGGAAAAAAUAAAUAAAUAAAAAGAUAAAGAUAUCGUUGGGAAUGAAAUUCUGUCAUUUGUAUCCCCUUUGACAGAAAACGGAGGGAUCAAUUGAUGUAUUUUAAAAAUUUUAUCCGUCAGGACUGACGGGGCUCGAACCCGAGAACCCGUGAAUGCGGAGGAUUCUAUUGAAAACGAAUCCUAAUGAUUUAUCGGGGAGGAUGGCGGAACAAACCAGAGACCACUGCAUUUCUUUUUAUUCUGAUUCUGAGAGGUCAUGGGUUAACCCGACAACUGAACUAGAAAAAGAGUAAAUAUUCACCCGCGAAAAUUUGAGUUUAAUUUUAUUUGAUUGUUCAAUUUUUGUCGAUCUGAAUCUGAUAUGAAUAUGAUAAAAAACAAAAUAAAGAUUCGUUAUAACAUUAUAACAAAACCAAGAUAAGACAUUAUCUAAAAAUAGAAUCCGUGUUUAAUUCCUUAUACUUAAAUAUAUAUCCAAUAGAUCCAAACAAGAUAUACAAAUUUCUAAUAGAU
rnacentral:lncRNA from 1 species